CUCAAAUUCCUUCAAGAAGCGGAUUUUUGUUAGAACUCAUGGACGAAACGACGAGGCAACCUGCGAAUCAGCCAACGCCGUCUCCAUCUUCCGUUUCCACCAACAAACUUUCUUGCUGAUCUAAUGUAUCGUCACUCUGAGCCGCUAUCACAUCGAACUCCUCCAUUGAUAAUUUCGUCGCUACCACCGUCAGUUUGGUUCUCGAGGAAAUCGGAUUUACGGAGAAUCUCGACGCCGGAAAGUUUAGCGCCUUGGAAAUGGGUGGAUUCAAUUUUGAUUUUCCUUUGGAAAUUGAAGGUGAGAAGCUUUGCGGAGAGACGGUGCUGUGAACCGACGCCAUGGCCGCGAGUUGGUUGUCGAGAGGUUAUUGAAGGUGUGACAGGUUAGAGGUCUUGAGAGGAAACAGGUAGCCAGUCAAAGAGUUGUUGGUGUUCUUGCGUGUGAUGAAGAUUGAAGGUGGAGGUGAGAAUCGGACCAUUGUGUCAUUGACGAAGAAGAGGCCACGAUGAUUGCUGGGUCAAGAUGAAUAUGAUGAUGACGAUCUUUCCUUCAAAAGAGUUGCGAACAAGAUGUCUUUUUGCAGGAAAUUUUGAUGAAGAUCGAAGAUAUAAGUUCUUCCUUGAUCAUGUUGCAGUUUCACUGGCUUUAUGUGAAAUGCUAUGGAAUUGGCUACGGAUUGAAGAUUGGAAAUGCGAAAUUGGAAUGGAUUAAUAUGCUUGGAAUGUAAUUUUAUGCUUAAUUUGAAUUGUACAUCCAUUGGAAAAUUUCUCACUGAGCUUGCUGGUCCGAAGAAAUGCAGAUGGAUUGAGUUUUCUAAUUAUGUAAUUUUGAUUGAAAUUGUUUUCUGAAUUUUGUAAUUGGAACUAAAAUGUUAUAUUUGGAAUUGUGGGUUAUGAUGAAAAAUGGUUAUUGUAAUUAAAUGCAUUUGUACAUGGUUGAAAUGAAAUCUUGGUGGUUAAAGGCA